GGAAGGCGUAGGCGGGCUGAUUAAGUCAGCGGUGAAAGGUAGCAGCUUAACUGUUUUACAUGCCGUUGAUACUGGUUAGCUUGAGUUGACAGAAGGCAGAUAGAAUUCCUGGUGUAGCGGUGAAAUGCUUAGAUACCAGGAGGAAUACCGAUUGCGAAGGCAGUCUGCUGCAGUCACACUGACGCUGAGGCUCGAAGGUGCGGGGAUCAAACAGGAUUAGAUACCCUGGU
rnacentral:rRNA from 1 species